rnacentral:tRNA from 1 species
AUGGGUAUGAUGGAAACUGGUAGACAUGUUAGAUUUAGGUUCUAAUAACUAUUAACGUUGUGAGGGUUCGAGUCCCUCUACCUAUA